rnacentral:rRNA from 1 species
GUCUACGGCCAUACCACCCUGAACGCGCCCGAUCUCGUCUGAUCUCGGAAGCUAAGCAGGGUCGGGCCUGGUUAGUACUUGGAAGGGAGAAGAAUUCAGAACUGGUAAAGA